GACGAACGCUGGCGGCGUGCCUAACACAUGCAAGUCGAGCGGGGUUGAAGCGAGGGGUAACUCGAGUUUCUACCUAGCGGCGGACGGGUGAGUAACGCGUGGGCAACCUGCCUCAAGGACUGGGAUAACAGCUCGAAAGGGCUGCUAAUACCGGAUAAGCCCAUGGCCUCGCAUGGGGCCAUGAGCAAAGGGGAAACCCGCCUUGAGAUGGGCCCGCGUCCCAUCAGCUAGUUGGUGAGGUGAAGGCUCACCAAGGCGACGACGGGUAGCCGGCCUGAGAGGGUGACCGGCCACACUGGGACUGAGACACGGCCCAGACUCCUACGGGGGCAGCAGUGGGGAAUCUUGCACAAUGGGCGAAAGCCUGAUGCAGCGACGCCGCGUGAGCGAAGAAGGCCUCGGUUGUAAAGCUCUGUCUGGAGGGACGAAGGAAGUGACGGUACCUCCGGAGGAAGCCACGGCUAACUACGUG
rnacentral:rRNA from 1 species